rnacentral:lncRNA from 1 species
UCCGGCCUUGUGACCCCAUGAGGAUGCGUCACCGCAGUAACUGACAAGAGGUGGAAGAGUUACCAAGACAACAGCUCAUAACACUGGCAUAAUAUGCUAGAUAGAGUUGCACUGUGAACUUGGAAGUUUCCACAAUUACAGUUUUUGCCCCCGGGGAGCACAUUUUUGAUUUUUUUACAGGAAAGGCUCUGCUUUGAUCUAACGGCUAAUGUGGAAAGGCACACACACACACACACACACACACACACACACACACACACACUGGCUGAGGUCACGUGUUCCAAACAGGGUCGCGGUGAACCGGAACCUAACCCAGCAACACAGGGUGCAAGGCUGGAGGGGGAGGGGAUACACCCAGGACGGGACGCCAGUCCGUCACAAGGCACCCCAAGCAGGACUCGAAUCGCAGACCCACCGGAGAGCAGGACCUGGCCAAGCCCGCUGCACCACCGUGCCCCCUAAUGUGGAAAGUAAAAGACAUAAUUGGAAAAUCAGUAUGGCAAAUUUUAGCAUCUGUGAUGUAAACGUGGUUACAGGUACAACCUGAGCAGCGGUCUGUCAGCAAUCUGUUUACCGCUGCGAUUCGGGAUGAGUGGAGCUGAGCGGGGUGAUCACACAGAGGACUGCGGAAGAAGAGGAGAACUCCUUUGUGCCCCUCCUGCGUCCUGGCUGAAGCGAUGGCUGUGGCGUUACCAGAAUCUACGAGUCUUGAAGGAGGAGUGUGAGGCAGUCCCUCCACUUUCAGCCCGGAGGUGGAUAAUUAUGGGCUCUGUCAUCAUGUUAGCACUGAUUUUCAUGGUGCUGCUUCUGUUCUGGAAUUAUCAGUGUACCCUUGUUGAUAAAUUGUGCCAAGGCAAGGAGGAAAGCUCCAUGUUCCCAUUGUUUGGAGACUGGGAUGAAAAUCUUGCCAAAGAAAAGCAGGUCUGAGAGGGGGGAGUCAGUGGGCUGUGGCCGUUCUCCUGUAUUUAACUAUAUUUAUCUAGACUCGUAGAGUGUACUGCAGUGGAGGAAUAGUGGGAAUAGAAAACAGGAAACUCAAACCUGGUGCCCAAUAAGCAUAUUAAGAAGUGGGCACACAAGGAAAAAAUCUGGCUCUUAUGACUUUAAACAAUAACCAUUCCCCUCAUUUAUUUUUAUUGUUUCGCUGUUGUAGUUGUUGAUCUGAUAGUAACAUAUUGUAUACAAUUGCUUACUAAUUCAAAAUUUUACCACAAGAGGGAGGCAUGUGGCAAAGAUUAUCCGAUUACCAUUUUUUGUAAUAUAAAUUCUAAAGUUUAUCGUUACCCCCAGGAAAACAAGUUUUGAUUAUUGUUUUGAUUAUCAUUUGUCUUAAUAAUUUACAUCACUAUGUAUAAUGAUUCUAGUUGAACCACUGUGUGCCUUGAGAUCUCUGCUUAAUGGAUUGUAAUAUAAUAUUUUAUUCGGUGUCUCCCGUAUGGUUUCCCAUUUUAUAUGGAAUUUUAGGAGGCAAUGAAAAGUUAACGCAGUGAGUCCUUUAUGGAGACUAGAGAAGAGUUCUGCUGUUAUGAUGGUUAAUUAUGAAAGGUGAAAAGCAAAAUCAAAAUAAGGACUCCUGAAAGCACACCUUGUGUAUGCAUGUGCCACCAUAGUAAUGAUGUUAUGAAAGAUUGAUAGAAGGGCUGCAAUGUAAUGUUAUUUUUACUCUUUUUAAAGUUGCCAUUGAUCUAAAAUGUUGUUCUAAAAGGGGAUCAUACAUGAAAGCAUGAUUGAACAGUUAACGGUCAGUGACCCAGCAAGACAUCACAGUACUUUGUCUGGUAAUUCACAACAUUCUUGAGUAGAAGUAUUUUACUUGCACACAGCUGAUGCAGACAACAUUACAAGAGCACUAGUGGCCUUGCCUAAAAGCAGGUAGAAAGCCCUUGAAAAUGCUUAAGAAAUUAAAUUUCAGACUCACGUAAUGUAGGAAAUUCAGUUUAGUACUGCUGUAACAUUGGUUGCAGAUGCUGUGCUUGAAACAAUUCACAUAUUUUAAACAAUUAUCUGUUUUACAAUAAAAUUAACAGUGAACAACCA